rnacentral:rRNA from 1 species
UACGUAGGGUGCGAGCGUUGUCCGGAAUUAUUGGGCGUAAAGAGCUCGUAGGCGGUGUGUCGCGUCGGCCGUGAAAACCUGGGGCUCAACUCUGGGCGUGCGGUCGAUACGGGCAUCACUUGAGUUCGGCAGGGGAGACUGGAAUUCCUGGUGUAGCGGUGAAAUGCGCAGAUAUCAGGAGGAACACCGGUGGCGAAGGCGGGUCUCUGGGCCGAUACUGACGCUGAGGAGCGAAAGCGUGGGGAGCGAACGGG